CAUCCCCAUGAUGAUUUGUUUUAAUAUUAGAAGUAGUGGACUGAAUCUUAUUGAGGAAAAAUGGAAUCUGAGGGAUG